UGGUGCUGGUAGGGCUGGCUAUGGGGCUGGUUCUGGUAGGGCUGGCUAUGGGGAUGGUGGUACCAGUGGGGCUGGUUCUGGGGCUGGUGGUACCAGUAGGGCUGGCUAUGGGGCUGGUUCCUGUAGGGCUGGUUAUGGGGCUGGUGGUACCAGUGGGGCUGGUUCCGGUAGGGCUGGCUGUGAUGGGUCCAGUGGUACCAGUGGGGCUGGUUCUGGUAGGGCUGGCUAUGGGGCUGGUUCUGGUAGGGCUGGUUAUGGGGCUGGUGGUACCAGUGGGGCUGGUUCCGGUAGGGCUGGCUAUGGGGCUGGUUCUGGUAGGGCUGGCUAUGAUGGGUCCAGUGGUUCCAGUGGGGCUGGUUCUGGUAGGGCUGGUUCUGGUAGGGCUGGUUAUGGGGCUGGUGGUACCAAUAGGGCUGGUUCUGGUAGGGAUGGCUAUGGGGCUGGUGGUACCAGUGGGGCUGGUUCUGGUAGGGCUGGCUAUGAUGGGUCCAGUGGUAUCAGUGGGGCUGGUUCCAGUAGGGCUGGCUAUGGGGCUGGUGGUACCAGUAAGGCUGGUUCCGGUAGGGCUGGCUAUGGGGUUGGUUCUGGUAGGGAUGGCUAUGGGGUUGGUUCCUGUAGGGCUGGCUAUGGGGCUGGCGGUACCAGUGAGGCUGGUUCCGGUAGGGCUGGCUAUGGGGCUGGCUCUGGUAGGGCUGGCUAUGAUGGGUCCAGUGAUACCAAUGGGGCUGGUUCCGGUAGGGCUGGUUCCGGUAGGGCUGGCUAUGGGGCUGGUUCCGGUAGGGCUGGCAAUGGGGCUGGUGGUACCAGUAGGGCUGGUUCCGGUAGGGCUGGUUCAGGUAGGGCUGGUGGUACCAAUAGGGCUGGUUCUGGUGGUGCUCUCAAUGGGUCCAGUGGUACCGGUGGUACCGGUUCUGGUGGUGCCGUCAAUGAUGGGUCCGGUGGUACCGGUUCUGAUGGUACCGGUUCUGGUGGUACCAGUGUUGGUGGUUCUGGUAUUGCUGGUACCGGUGUCUGUAUGGUACCAAUGGGGGCUGUUGUGGUUCCGGUUCCGGUUCUGGUUCCGGUUCUGGUUCUGGUUCUGGUCCCGGUGUCGCUCUAUGAUGGAGCUGGGGGGUUCCCAGGGGGUGACACGGGGAUGGAGCUGAUGGAGCUGGAACUGGGGGGGGG
rnacentral:lncRNA from 1 species